rnacentral:tRNA from 8 species
GCCGAUGUGGCGGAAUUGGCAGACGCACCAGACUCAAAAUCUGGCGGGAAACCAUGUGGGUUCGAGUCCCACCAUCGGUACCA